rnacentral:rRNA from 1 species
GUGAGUCAUCGAGUCUUUGAACGCACCUUGCGCUCUCUGGUAUUCCGGAGAGCAUGCCUGUUUGAGUGUCAUGAACUCUUCAACCCACCGGUUCCUUGUUGAACUGCUGUGGUGUUUGGAUUUUGAACGCUGCUAUGUAAUUAGCUCGCUCGUAAUACAUUAGCAUCUCAAUUUCGUAAUCGGAUUGACUCAGCGUAAUAGACUAUUCGCUGAGGACACUUUUUCAGAGUGGCCGAGACAUGAAAAGUUAGAAGCUUCAAACCCAUCUAGUCAUUCUUAAGAUUAGACCUCAGAUCAGGCAGGAUUACCCGCUGAACUUAAGCAUAUCAAUAAGCGGAGG